rnacentral:lncRNA from 1 species
AGGAACAUACUCGUGGUUUGUGGUGGAGUAAUUCCGCCGCAAGAUUAUGAUUUUCUCUUUGAGAAAGGCGUUGCUGCUGUUUUCGGUCCAGGUAUGUUUUCACGUUAAUUUGAUCUUUUAAAUUAUAUGUUCAAAAGCUGUGUAAAUCGAACAGUGGUUUGAUUGACACCUUUCGCCUCCAACACAGUCAACACUGCAAAUUGCAAUCACAAACAUUGACAUCACAGACCUAAUUCAGACUCCAACUCUCGCAAAAUAUCUCAAGAAACGGUUUUUGGAUUGAGGGUGUAACAGACACUACCGCUACCGUUACCGUUACCAUUAACUAAUCAGAUGCAUAUAUUAUUCUACCCAAUUAAACAAUUAAAUGUGUUGAGAGGUGAUGUUCGUUCAUUUGCACUUGAAAUCUCCAGAGUUGUUUCUACAAUUAUAUAUACAGUACUCUCCCAAACACCACAAACUUUCUUCCGUGUACUCCAAUGUCCCAGUAGUAGUUAUACAUUGAACCAAUUACUGUUAGAAUGUCCUGUUGGUUUAUCUAUGUGUUUUUUAAUGGCUGCCGAGUUUAUUAAUAAUUUAUUUUAAUUAUGCUUUAAGGUACAAGAAUCCCACAAGCAGCAAUGGAAGUAUUAAGGGCGAUCUCCCCUGAUGAGCAAGGUAGACAAACAAUGGCAUAAUUAAGACGUUGCGUUAAGAAUUCUACAAAUAGUUGCCGUGCAGUAGAUUGUCCAAGUGAGGUGAAGAACUCUGAAAAUACCUGUUGGUUGAAAUUACAUAAUCUAGGAACACUAACUAUAGAUGUAGACUACUGUAUGGCACGUUUCCUGUGAGGUUUAAGGAGGUUCCCUACAGUUUCCAAUAUAUGUCAGUGUUUUAAUUAAACUAAAAGCUAUUUGAAUCUAAAGCACAAGCCGUUGUUUCCUCUCAUAUAAAAGAGUAAUUUUAAACCACAGUUGCUAUUCUUUACGUUACCAUGACAACAUGACGUCACCAUCUAUAAGGCCUACAUCAACCAAACUUCUUUAUUUGAAAAUCGUCAGUGUAGUUUUCGAAAAACUGAAUUUCAGUCUUUAAGAUUGCAUUUUAGCCAUUGGAAAGGCUGAAAUUCAGUUUCUCGAAAACUACAUAGGCAAUUUUCAAAUAACUUUCAAAAAAGAUUCAAAACUUCAUAACAAUGUACUUUCUGUAUAUAUAUAUAUAUAUAUAUAUAUAUAUAUAUAUAUAUAUAUAUAUAUAUAUAUAUAUAUAUAUAUAUAUAUAUAUAUAUAUAUAUAUAUAUAUAUAUAUAUAUAUAUAUAUAUAUAUAUAUAUAUAUAUAUAUAUACAUAUAUAUAUAUAUAUACUAUAUUGGAAACUGUAGGGAACCUCUUUAAGUUGGACAAGGACACUGGCUUUGUUGCUAAAGACGGCCACAGGUCUUGGUUUAAUGUUUAAUGGUUUUGCAUUUCAGACUUUGCUUGCUUUGUAAACUACAUGUCAAUUAAUCUGCCGAGUUCUGUAAUUCUAACAGCUUAGUGGUAAUAUAUCCGUGAAGGAUGUGUACUGUGUAGCCUAAUAUUAUAUUUCCUUGCUUUGAAAUAUUGGAAAUAUUGUGUAUUCAUAUUUAAAAGAUAAUUUUGUUAUCAUUUAAAAUGCAUUCUCAUGUGCAGGAAAAUGUGCAAGUGAAAUAAAUUUUGCAAUUAAAGAUUUAUAUUAACG